UACGUAGGGUGCGAGCGUUUAAUCGGAAUUACUGGGCGUAAAGAGUGCGUAGGCGGUUCGUUAUGUCUGCUGUGAAAGCCCCGGGCUUAACCCGGGAAUGGCAGUGGAAACUGGCGGGCUUGAGUGUGGCAGAGGGGGGGUGGAAUUCCGCGUGUAGCAGUGAAAUGCGUAGAGAUGCGGAGGAACACCGAUGGCGAAGGCAGCCCCCCUGGGCUAACACUGACGCUGGAGGCACGAAAGCGUGGGGAGCAAACAGG
rnacentral:rRNA from 1 species